AACGCUAGCGACAGGCUUAACACAUGCAAGUCGAGGGGUAACAGGGUAGCAAUACCGCUGACGACCGGCGCACGGGUGAGUAACGCGUAUGCAACCUGCCUAUAACUGGGGAAUAGCUCCCUGAAAGGGGAAUUAACACCGCAUAAUACUAUUGAUUCGCAUGGAUUAGUAGUUAAAUGUAGCGAUACAGGUUAUAGAUGGGCAUGCGUGACAUUAGCUAGUUGGUGAGGUAACGGCUCACCAAGGCUACGAUGUCUAGGGGUUCUGAGAGGAAGGUCCCCCACACUGGUACUGAGACACGGACCAGACUCCUACGGGAGGCAGCAGUGAGGAAUAUUGGUCAAUGGGCGCAAGCCUGAACCAGCCAUGUCGCGUGCAGGACGACUGCCCUAUGGGUUGUAAACUGCUUUUAUAGUAGAAGAAACACAUCUACGUGUAGAUGUCUGCCAGUAUACUAUGAAUAAGCAUCGGCUAACUCCGUG
rnacentral:rRNA from 1 species